rnacentral:snRNA from 1 species
AUACUUACCUGGCAGGGGAGAUACCAUGAUCACGAAGGUGGUUUUCCCAGGGUGAGACUUAUCCAUUGCACUCAAGAAAAGACAGUUAUGCCUGUGUCCUGAAAGGGCUUCUGAAGCC